AGCAUCUAAGCGUGAAGCCAACUCUAAGAUGAAUCUUCUCUAAGCUCUCUAGAAGACUACUAGUUUGAUAGGCUGGGUGUGUAAUGGAUGAAAGUCCUUUAGCUGACCAGUACUAAUAGAGCGUUUGGCUUAUCUUU
rnacentral:rRNA from 1 species